CAGGACGUAGCCGAAAAUCCUUUCAAAGAGUAGGCA
rnacentral:ncRNA from 1 species